UUUUAAUAAAUAAUUAUUGAGAAGCUACUAUGUGCCAGGCACUUUACUAAGUGCAACAGAUGCAGAGAGAAUGCUCAAAGAGUUGAGGCUAAGUGAUUGCCCAAUAGAUAUAGAUGCCACCUGACUUAGGUCAGAUUCCCUUGAAGCAGAGACUGAAACAGGGACCCAGGAUUGGAAGUGACUGAUGGAGGGCAUAUUUUCAGAGAAAAGAGAGUGAGAGACACAGACUGAGUGGGGAAAAAUCUAAGCAAGGAUGUGGUCUCAUUUUGAGUCUGACUUCAGCCUGAUCUAAUGGAGGACUCUAGAAUUGCACACUGGAGUUGGUCCCAUCUUGAAGCAAGGUGAGUGGUGUUUUGUUCUUUCUGUGUCAUUCAGGUAUUGGCUGUGGACUGCCCUUUGUGAAGGAUGGGAGCGGGCCCCCUGGUACAUAGUUGUAUAUUCUUCGUUGUGGGUCAACCUAGUUAUGGCAUGUGGGAUGCUGCCUCACCGUGGCCUGAUGAGCAGUGCCAUGUCCACACCUAGGACUCGAACCAACGAAACACUGGGCUGCCUGCAGCGGAGCACAUGAACUUAACCACUCGGCUACGGGGCCAGCCCCCAAUGGAAUGAUGUUUUAAAAAAUUUUAGUUUAAAAUGUAGCAUAGGAAGUGUUAUGUAUAAAUAAUGAAAAAGUUGUUAUUUUAGCACCCUUGAUUUUUAUACUGAGGCAAGGUUCAGAUUACAUAAAUUCCUGUGAUGUGAUACCAUAUAUUCUUCCCACCCUCACUGCUGGUUUGCAGUACUUUAUGCCAAGGAUAACAGUACUAACAUUGUAAUACAACACUUUGAUACGCUUUAUUUUAUUCGAUUUUCAUCUAGUUUGGUAAGCCCACCUAUCAGUCUUGGAAUAUCCAUUCAUCUCUUCUUUCAUUAGUCUUUUUACUCUUUGUUUCACUAUAUCCCUCUCAUUCCUGGAUGCUGCCAAGAUCAGGUACCUGGUGCUCUCAUACUAGCUCUUAUGUGACUGGCUCCCUCAUUGUGACACCUCACCAAACUCUUCUAAUUUUAUUGUUAUUGAGACUGACCAACACCUAAGAAAGGGGCUUUCUGCCCAAAGCUCUGAGCAAG
rnacentral:lncRNA from 1 species